UCAGCAGCAAAGGAAGUUACACAUAAACUCUCGGAAAGCAGCUGCCACGGUGAGCCCCUGGGAGGGGCAGAGGAAGAAAAUCUCGACCUUUGGAGAAAGCUGAUAACCUGGAGCAGCUUCUAAUUCUACGAGGAUGGUCACACUCACUCUCACUGCCAAGAUUUUCAUUUAAGCUCAUCACACCGAAGGGGAGAAAACACCAAACUAAACACAAAUAAAUCAGUGUUGAACUUUAGGGGAUGCAAACAACAGACAACUUCAGCUGUCUUGAGGAGAAAUGGAAUGUACCUGAAGGAUACCAGGGAGGCUCACCAAGUCUGAGGAACUGUAGAACAACCAGGCUUUGAGAAGAGCAGAACUGGGGCAAUGCUGGAGACCUCAGGAACCACAGUAGAAAAUUAGAUGGUGCUUGCAAACACAAAGACACAGCAUGGCCUCCUGGAACAAAAUGAAAUCUACAGAGUCUUGAAGCAAUAUGGAGAGAUCAAAGCCCAGACAAUGUGUACUUGAGAAGACAGAGGGGAUCGAAAUGAAGGAGAGAAUUUCUUUUCUCACCCUCUGGCUGACUUUCCAUUCUUAAAGAAAUUAGAGCAAAUAAAUAAUUGGCAGUUUUGUUGAACUCUUGAGUGGCAUUUUGUAACUUGUUUAUGCCUAUUAUGGAAAUAAGUUUAUUAAAAAUUCAAACCACAUGGGAACUUUACAGAUACUAAAAUAUGUUUUUAAAACUGUUAUAUAUGCUGAUUUGUAAUCUUUUGAAAUUUCAUGCAUAAAACAGAGCUUAUCCUUUCAUUAAAAUAUUUUUCUGCUUUUGAAUCUUUUAGCAGUGAACUAUAUUUUAAAAUGUGAAAUCUUAGUGGUUAUCUAUUGCUGCAGAUCACCAUAAACUUAGUAGCUUACAAACUGUUCAUUCAUUCAUGAUACUGCAUUUUCUACAGGCUCAGCCAGGAAAAACUCAUCUCUGUUCCACAUGAUGUCAGAUGUGGUGGCUCAAUGAGGGCUGUAGGAGCCACUUAACUCACAUGAGAACACAAGACACAUAAGGCCCUGAAAGUCAUUCAUUGAAAGGGCUUGGCUUUUGCCCUUUGUGAGAUGGGAAGCGACUGGAGGGCUCUCUGAGCACAAAAGUGGCAUGAUAUAACUUGUGUACUCACAGGAUUACCUGGCUACUGGGUGUUGAGAAUAAACUAAGAGGAGUGGGCUGUCAAAGCUGGGAGCAGGGAGGCCAGUUAGGAAGCAAGUGCCAUGGCCCAGGGGAGAGAUGGUGGUGGCUUGAAGAAAUGAGGCAGCAAGGGGAGAUGAUGUGAUUGGAUUUGGAAUAAUAUUCAUCUACGCUUUCUUCUACUUAUUUUAUGGCAUUUUUGCGAUAUAAGAAGUUAGCUUUGGGGUAAGGUUUGAGGUAGUCAUCAACUCCACAAAUCUUUCUUGAGCAGCUAUUCUUAUGUUGUGCUUUCACAGUGCAGGAAAUCCAUUGAAUACUCAAGAAAUAUCUGUAGUUUUGACCUGAACAGUAAUCUUAGCUGAGGUAAUAUCUGAGCACCUACUGUAAGGCCUGGCCCUAUCCCCUGAUGGGGAUGGGGCACCUAUUAACAUUCUGCAGUUAGGAUGCCUUCGCAGUAAAGCCAGCUCCCCCCAGCCAGGAGCCUCCCACCCCCAACUGGAGUGUACUCCUGUAAUGGGCAGAAACUUUAUUUUAAUGGUCUUUUUGAGCUGCCACCUUCCCCUCACUGAAGGCAUGCUGAACUGAGUUGCAUCUCAUCACCGGCUGGAGGGAUGUGGAGUAAGAUUGUGAAGAACAGACCCAAUUCGUGGAGGCCUCUGAGUGCUGGCAUACCCUCUUGGGUGACAGUUGCUUUUUUUUCUUUUCUCCUCUUCCCCCUUCGGGAGCCCCAGUGUCCUGCAGCUGUUACAUCAGCCAGCCGCCUCUGCUGCCAGAUGAGCAGAACAAAAGAUGCGACUCGGUGACUACUCACAUCUGUACUUGUCAAAAGCAAACAGAACAGAUGCCUUUAGCAACGGGGCUCUCCAGCUCAGGGAGGAGAAAUGUCCCUUCUAAGAGCUGACAGAGCCACUUAGCGACGGCAAGGAACAUCAUGAAACAGAACAUUAAACUUUGAUGAACUGCAAAGCCUCGGAGAUUUAAGCUGCAAGUCAACAGAGAUGUUCUAAUCUAUAUAAACACUCUGCAUGCAAAUUCUGGCACAGUUUUGGGCCUUAUUUGGAUGGUGUUUUUCACUGCCUCCUUCAGAAGAGACAGCUAUAAAGGCAAAAAGAGGUGCUGUGGUUUUCUUAUGAACGCGGGGGUAGGGAGCACUUCUUAGUAAGUCCUGGGGCUGGUCCUUCCUGCCCUCAGUCUGCACUUGAGCCUGUCUUUCCUGGGUCCUACGCUCGGGCAGUCUUCCCCAAUCUAAGGAGGGUGUCAGCACUGUGCCCCUCCCUGCCCCUGCCCUGCUGUCACCGUCUCUCUCCAGUAGGCUUUUAACCCAGAGCCCAGCACUGCGAGAGACACACCAAAGUUGGACUGGGAGCAUUCACUCAGUAGUAACAAUUCCAAGUGCAAAUUGACUAUUUACUGCAGGCCAGACACAUGCUUUGAGGCCUUGUCCUUUGUUGAAAUGCUCCCCACAGCCCUGUGAUAUAGGUGGAUUAUUGGCCUCGUACUGAGGCCCGAGGUAGUAGAGUCAGUUGCUCUGAGUCACACCCCUUGUCAAUGGUAAAG